AACCAAAAGGACGGAGUGAAAAAAACUCUAACUAAGGAUGUGUUCAGAGGAUCCAUCACAAAGCACUGGGUGUUCAUAACGGCCAAGAGGCAAGAGGAGUAGAGGCCGACAAAUAGUACUCUGGUUCAACUAUCAUGGGACUUGACUCUGUAUUCCGCCUUAGGUGAGAGAUUAGGGAACAACAACAACAACAACAACGGGACAAACGUGCAUCUUACACAGCAUCAAGACUCAUCUAAAAUGCUACGAAUGAGCAGAAGAAAUCUCAUCGUUAUGCUGGGGGAGAGUGUUGAGAUGAAGAAAGAGGAUAUAAGGAUGAAUAUGGAUGUCUCCCUACAUAUCACAAAAAGUGACUCCACUUCAUGUAGUAAUGUUCCAAAACAUUUUCAUUGGAUGUAAUAAACCAAAUAAAGUGC